rnacentral:rRNA from 1 species
UACGUAGGGUCCGAGCGUUGUCCGGAAUUAUUGGGCGUAAAGAGCUCGUAGGCGGUUUGUCGCGUCUGCCGUGAAAGUCCGGGGCUCAACUCCGGAUCUGCGGUGGGUACGGGCAGACUAGAGUGAUGUAGGGGAGACUGGAAUUCCUGGUGUAGCGGUGAAAUGCGUAGAUAUCUGGAGGAACACCGGGUGGCGAAGGCGGCAUCCUGGACCGACACUGACGCUGAGGAGCGAAAGCCAGGGGAGCAAAGCGGG